AGCGCAACCCUCGACCUUAGUUGCCAGCAUUCAGUUGGGCACUCUAAGGUGACUGCCGGCUAAAAAGUCGGAGGAAGGUGGGGAUGACGUCAAAUCAUCAUGCCCCUUAUGACCUGGGCUACACACGUGCUACAAUGGGCGGUACAAAGGGUCGCGAACCCGCGAGGGGGAGCCAAUCCCAAAAAGCCGCUCUCAGUUCGGAUUGCAGGCUGCAACUCGCCUGCAUGAAGCCGGGAAUCGCUAGUAAUCGCGGAUCAGCAUGCCGCGGUCGAAUACGUUCCCGGGCCUU
rnacentral:rRNA from 1 species